AGCGAACGCUGGCGGCAUGCCUAACACAUGCAAGUCGCACGGGGGGGCUUCGGCCUCCCAGUGGCGGACGGGUGAGGAACGCGUAGGGACCUGUCGAGGGGUGGGGGAUAACCGCGGGAAACUGCGGCUAAUACCGCAUGACGCCGCGGCGUGACAGCCGGGGCCAAAGGCGAAAGCCGCCCGCCGAGGGGCCUGCGUCCGAUUAGCUGGUUGGCGGGGUAGCGGCCCACCAAGGCGUCGAACGGUAGCUGGUCUGAGAGGGUGAUCAGCCACACCGGGACUGAGACACGGCCCGGACUCCUACGGGAGGCAGCAGUGGGGAAUAUUAGACAAUGGGCGCAAGCCUGAUCCAGCAAUGCCGCGUGGGUGAAGAAGGUCUUCGGAUUGUAAAGCCCUUUCGGCGGGGACGAUGGUGACGGUACCCGCAGAAGAAGCCCCGGCUAAGUUCGUG
rnacentral:rRNA from 1 species